CAAAGAAAUUGACGGGUCCCCGCACAAGCGGAGGAGCAUGCGGCUUAAUUCGAUGCAACGCGAAGAACCUUACCAGGGCUUGACAUGCAACUGCACGUCCCGUGAAAAUGGGAUUCCUUCGAGGGUGUUGCACAGGUGCUGCAUGGCUGUCGUCAGUUCGUGCCGUGAGGUGUUUGGUUAAGUCCAUCAACGAACGCAACCCUUGUGUUUAGUUGCCACCGGCGGUGCUGAAUCGUCGAGCACUCUAGACAGACUGCCCGUGUUAAGCGGGAGGAAGGUGGGGAUGACGUCAAGUCAGUAUGGCCUUUAUGUCCUGGGCUGCACGCGUGCUACAAUGGCCGGUACAGAGGGAAGCGAUACCGCGAGGUGGAGCAAAUCCCCAAAAACCGGUCCCAGUACGGAUUGGAGUCUGCAAUUCGACUCCAUGAAGUUGGAUUCGCUAGUAAUGGCACAUCAGCUACGGUGCCGUGAAUACGUUCCCGGGGAUUGUACACACCGCCCGUCACAUCAUGAAAGCUGUCUGCACCAGAAGUCGCUCAACCAACCCGCAAGGGAGGAAAGCGCCGAAGGUGUGGGGAGUGAUUGGGAUGAAGUCGUAACAAGGUAACCAAGGGCGAA
rnacentral:rRNA from 1 species